UGCCUUAACAUCUCCAUUUUGUUGCCCUGCCUGCUUCAGAUUUGAGACAGACAUCGCCUGCGAACAUAUUUUGAUUUUUAACAAUGUUCAGGCGAAGCAGGUUUCUUUCCUUCCCUAUGGUAAUCGGUGCAGUCAUUAUUGGUGUUGUUUCUGGGAAGGCAAUAUUUGGACCCCCACUUGAUGAGUAUUGGAAAAAGAAGCAUCAAGAAGAGACAUCUGCAGCUGCUACUAAGGAGAAUGACUCAACCCCAACUUAGUUCACCACUUAGUUCACCUUCUCAAGUAGCAACAUCAUCAUAUUUUUUUCUUUCUUUGGACUAAAGAUAAGGAUUGAAAUGCAGUCACUGCAUUAAUUUUGCUAGGGAUUGAUGUUUUGAAGUAGUCUGAACUCUUUAUUCUUUACUCUUUCCAAUGUGAGGAGUGAGUUUUGGUUCUCUUUCCCUGUCUUUUACUAUCAAGCUAGAUUUGUAGAAAUUCACUGUAUAAUUCUUUUUUCCAGCUACCGUUGAGUUACAAGCAUUUAUAUUAUUGUAGUUGCCAUGAAUGUAAAAUUGUUAUACUCAAAUAAAACAAGUUGUCCCUUGACCUGCAUA